rnacentral:rRNA from 1 species
CUUUCAUGGAGAGUUUGAUCCUGGCUCAGGACGAACGCUGGCGGCGUGCCUAAUACAUGCAAGUCGAGCGAAUCUUUCGGAAC